rnacentral:rRNA from 1 species
CCUACGGGAGGCAGCAGUAGGGAAUAUUGCUCAAUGGGGGAAACCCUGAAGCAGCAACGCCGCGUGGAGGAUGAAGGUUUUCGGAUUGUAAACUCCUUUUGUUAGAGAAGAUAAUGACGGUAUCUAACGAAUAAGCACCGUCUAACUCCGUGCCAGCAGCAGCGGUAAUACGGAGGGUGCAAGCGUUACUCGGAAUCACUGGGCGUAAAGAGCGCGUAGGCGGGAUAGCAAGUCAGAUGGGAAAUCCUAGGGCUUAACCAUAGAACUGCAUUUGAAACUGUUAUUCUAGAGUAUGGGAGAGGUAGGUGGAAUUCUUGGUGUAGGGGUAAAAUCCGUAGAGAUCAAGAGGAAUACUCAUUGCGAAGGCGACCUGCUAGAACAUAACUGACGCUGAUGCGCGAAAGCGUGGGGAGCAAACAGGAUUAGAUACCCUUGUAGUC